rnacentral:rRNA from 1 species
GUCUCUUUGAGAUUUUUUAAUAAAAAUUUGGGCCUGCUCGGUGAUUAAUAUUUAACAGCUGCGGUAUUAUAACUGUACUAAGGUAGCAUAAUAAUUUGCUCUAUAAAUUGGGGCUAGAAUGAAUGGUUUGACGAAAAUUUGACUGUCUCUAUCUUAUUUAUUAGAAAUUAAUUUUUGUAGUGAGAAAGCUUAAAUUAUUUAAAGGGACGAAAAGACCCUAUUGAGCUUGUAUUAUUUAAUAAAUUAUAUGAUUGUUAUUUGAAUUAAUUUUGAUUGGGGUGAUCAAGGAAUAAAUUUUAUUUAGUUUAACUUCCUUAGUUAAUUGUUUUAUAGAAGAAUAAACCAAAGUUUUUGCUUAGAAGAUAAGUUACCAUAGGGAUAACAGCGUAAUUUUUUUUGAGAGUUCAUAUUGGAAAAAAGAGAUUGCGACCUCGAUGUUGGAUUAAAAUUAACCUUAAGGUGAAGAGGCUUUAUUAGGUAAAUCUGUUCGAUUUUUAAAAUUUUAC